rnacentral:rRNA from 1 species
GACGAACGCUGGCGGCGUGCUUAACACAUGCAAGUCGAACGAAGUGGCGAACGGGUGAGUAACGCGUAAUCAACCUGCCCUUCAGAGGGGGACAACAGUUGGAAACGACUGCUAAUACCGCAUACUGAAGGAGGGGAUUGCGUCGGAUUAGCUAGUUGGAGGGGUAACGGCCCACCAAGGCGAUGAUCAGUAGCCGGUCGUGGAGGAUGAACGGCCAAAUUGGGAAUGGGAAAAGGCCCAGACUCCUACGGGAGGGAGCCGUUGGGAAUCUUCCGCAAUGGACGAAAGUCUUACGGAGCAACGCCGCGUGAGAGAUGACGGCCUUCGGGUUGUAAAGCUCUGUUAAGCGGGACGCGGUACCGGAAUAGAAAGCCCCGGCUAACUACGUGCCAGCCGCCGCGGUAAUAC